rnacentral:sRNA from 1 species
UUUCUUUACGAUUGGUGAAUGAAGUCAUAGUUGUCGCGUGGUGUUAUUUUUGAAAUGGUUGGGAUUUUUUAAAAAGUAGAAAUAUAGAUCGUUUCGGUAACAAAAAACAACAAAUAACUAUGUUUUUCUGGCUUUUGCUUCAGUUUCUUUGCGCUUUUAAAGUUGGGUGAUUUUCAAAAAAAGUAACUUAGCAGUAACUUUUCAAUUAGUAGGCUACACUCCUCAUCGCAAACAUAUACUAAAUUGAUAUAUCUAGUCACUGUUUAGAUCCAGAAUCUAUAUAGAUCUAGAUCUACACCUAGUGUAAAUGAAUCUACAACUUCUUGGACAUAUAUUAUGACCAGUUUUGUUGACCAAACGGAAACCUUUGAUGAAAUAGAUCCAGUUCCAGUUAUGGGUGUAAAGCACACAUUUGCCCCACCCCUUUUAGCUUAGCAUAUUGAUGGAUACUACAUGGAUACUAUGGGCCUAGUAGCAAUUGGGAUAUCCAAUUAAUAAACAGAAGAUACAAUUUGUGCUUACACGUUCAUAUGAUUCAUACAUAUUCGCAUCACACGCUACAUCAUCGGGUGCCUAUCAUUUACUGGACAAUUCAGGCACUAUUUUAGAAAGUGACAAUGGCGCAAGCUGCCUCAACCAUCCAACGUCACCAGCAGUCAAGUAAAUGUGAAGACCUUCGACCGUCAGAAGAUGGAGAGAUUGGAUUUUGUGGCUACAUUCUGUUCGCAUUGUCAAUGUUUCUCAUCGUCAUCACUUUCCCGUUCUCUCUUUGUUUAUGCAUUAAGGUUAGGCUUAAAUUGUUUAUAGCGACUCAUCUCUGUUCACAACUCAUCUAUCUCUGUUCACAACUCAUCUCUGUUCAAGACUCAUCUAUCUCUGUUCA